CCUUUGUGAUACAUAGAUAACCAAGAAAAUUGAACUCUAUAUCUCAGGAAUGAACCUGAGAAUAAAAAUAUUAUCUAGAAGAAUCUUCUACACUAGAUGUUCCAAAAUCUUUUCUACCCAUGCCAAGCCACUGACUACCUUUCUCCAUCCCAAGUUUGUAACUGCUAAUAAAGCAAAGAGAAGUCUCUAGCUUUAGAGAGAUGGAGUACAUAAAGGUUUCUACUGUGUCACAUGAGACAUACGUGGAAUGGGCACCCUUGAAUCUGGUCAAUGUAAGGAAAGAUGUUUAACAGGUAAGCCAUGGCACAUCACAAUGACAUAAUCAGUAGGCCCUCCCUGAAACAUCUAUUGAAACCUGGAGAGGACUAGCUUCUUCUGUGAUGUCACAAGUGUUGUCGUGACUGCAACUCCCUUCAGAUAUCCCUUCAGUACCUCUAGUGUUUACUAAUUUAACUCUAAUCGAGAGUAAACAGUCAUUGUGGAGUGAGAAGGAAGAGGAUGAUGAGAUCAGAGAUGGGAAGAAGGAAGGUGGUCUUCUGUCUUGUUAUAAAAAAAGGAUGAAAUACAUGGUACUUCGGAAAGCUCAAAAAACUCUCAAAACUCAUCCUGGCUGACAAUGUAGAUUAGACGCAUCAGAUGAAAUGAAUUGAAAAACUCUCCUGGGAAUGAAAGUGAUAACUGAAUGAUUAUUGUAAAGCAAAUCCCGGAAUGAACUUAUGAGACCCACCAUCAGCCUGUCAAAUAAUGUGCGAAAGAAGAAAUCUGUGUCUCUCCAGGGACAAAUUGUUGCUUUCAAACCAACAGUAAAGUGUCCAUUCUAUGAAUGAUACAUUGAUAUAUACACAUUAUAGAAGGAUGGAUACAGAGUUUCUUCAGGUCCAUGAAUGAGGUAUUCAGCAGUUGACCUGGAUCAGAAAUGAAGGUAAUUUUUGCCAACUCUUCAGACUUGAGCUCCUUCACUAGGAUCCCCAUGAUUGAAGAAAAGAACAAACUUCAGACAACUUGUCUCAGAUUUUUAUGUAGUUAAGAUUUCCUGGUCUUGGUCCUAGGAAGGAAGGAUAUCUUGCUUUCCAAUUCUUGUUUAUCCUAUAAUCCUCUCUGCUGCAUUCAUGCAAAUAGAUUACUGUGCAUUUCUUUAAUAGGUUACAAUUGCUAUUUUAAUUAUGUUGCCAAGAACUAUAGAAAAAAAGAAGGACUGUAUCAAAGCAUCAUAUGAAAAUCCGACUAAGGUAAUGUGGCCAUUGGAAAUUUGUAACUGACCUGAAACUCUUACUAGAGACAAAAUGCCAUAAAAGGUCUUCUCUAGAUAUCUGGUGCAGUAGUUGGUGUUCCCCAACAGACAGUAAAGGAUGAAUCUCUCUGUACAGAGAAAUCGGACUAGUCACAAUGAUCACAGACUAUGGAACACAUAAUUUAACAAUGAUUGACUAUUUUUAAAGUCCUAGAAUCCAUUAGUUUAUUAGUCCAAAAGGCAAGAUGUCUUAUCUGGUCAUUGACAUAUGGAUAAAUAUUCAGUAUGCAGGUUCUAAUGUCUAUGAGGAUUUGGUAUCACUGUGAGUGCAAAAAUGAAAAAGUAAAGGCUUCUUUCUUCCAUGUUUUCUACGGGGAUUCAAAUAGAAUGCAUGGUUUAGAAUACAUUGGGUUUGCCAUUCUCAAACAGACCAAUAUCUUCAACUGAACAUUCUUUUCUUGGAAGCUGCACCCUGUCAGCAUGGCUCACGUGUAUGUGAACUGCAAGAUCUAGUCUGGGAAGGCGGUCCUGUUCAUCGAUCCAACCUGCCCCUAAUACUGAAAUACCCAAGACUUCCUCAAUCAACUCCUUUGCAAACAUGGUCUUCUGGGAUUUGAAGACAUUACAUCUACUAACAACACCAAUUCAAUUCAAGAUUACUUUCAACAGCUCCCUGGAGUGAGAAUAGUUCCUUGGGUCCUUAUAUGUAGAGAAAGACUGCAUAGGCAGACACAGUGAUCUAAUCUACCUGCAACAGAAUGAAGAGAUGAUGUGGCUGAAGCAGAUUGGAGCUCUGCAUUUAUUAAAGGGAUGGCAGUAAAAGCCCAUGCUGACAGCAGACAUUCAGACAUGCUGAAGCCAUGCUGAGACUUGAUGUUUGUCACAGAUGAUGUCAGUAUUUUCUUAUGACUGGGAUUUUCAACAAAUUGGCUUUCAUUCUAUUCCUCAUUCCAAAAAAUCUGUUGCUGUAGGCCUCAAACCAUGGGGUAGGGAAACUUAAGAGACAACAGAGGUUUGAUAAUCCAGUCUUCAUUCACUGACUUGUCUCUACCUCUAAGUCCAUGUUUCACAAUCCAGUGCAUUUAAAUCUCCAGGGAAUCAGUUACUGUUUCUCUACCAUGCUGGUCUGCUGAAGUCAUUUUACAGAAGUCCACUUCCAAGUAAUUAUUAAAGCAAUGAAUAUUUUGAAGUUGUUUAUGAUCUACACACAGGCUUUUUACGCCCCAAGCAUGUACCAUCCCACUUCUGCAUUUGCAGCUCUCAGCCAGUGUUCUCGACCUAUCCAUCCAGCAACCCUUAGAUUCCACACUUUGUAUGAGGAUAAUAUUUGAAAAAACAGAAGAAUAGCUGUAGCAUAGUUGUUCUUCACUGUAGCCAUAUUAACACAGACGGCAGAGCAUAUGAUGCAUUCAUCUCUGUUUGUAGUGUUUAAUUCCCCGUAAAGUCCCAAACAAUUGAGAGUUGAUUCUGUCAGAGUACCAGCAAAGUCAAAAAGGAAAUGCAAAAUUUCAGAAUUCUCCUUCCAAAGAUGUUUUGAAAGAAGUUGUUUGCAAAACACUGUCUUAAUAAAUUUAUUCCAUUCUCACUUUGAU